rnacentral:tRNA from 1 species
GGGGUUGUAGCUCAGUUGGUAGAGCGCAUCGUUCGCAAUGAUGAGGCCGUCGGUUCGAUCCCGAUCAGCUCCACCA